UGGAGGUACUGGGAAAUGUCUGAGGCAUUUCAGUCUCCGUAUGUGGGCAUGGGAGAAAGAAGCAAGACCAGACCAGUAACUGGACAUGAAGUGGCCAUCAAGCACCAGCCCACACCUGCUGGAUCUGGGAGAUUUAAUUUGUGAAUAAAUAUUUCAAGCACUGGCGACUGAGUCUGGGCUCUAAACCCACAGAUCAACUCUUAAAUCAGCACCAACUACUCUCAAGCAAGAGCCCACAUUACUUAUUCUCAAACUUAAGACAGAUCAUGCAUCCAGAACUACGAUUUAAGAAGCUUUCUUUACUUCUGAAAUACAUGAAAAUAAAUUCUUUACCUCUGAAA